UCAUUGCUUCUGCAGCCUCAGCAGCCUCUUCGCUGGGACUGCGCGACACCGCCUCCCGACUGGGUGCCCGCUGUGUGCCAGGCCGAGUGCUGGGCACUGUCCCAUCUCUUAGCCCAUUCGGGCCUCCCCAGCUCCGCGAGCGCCCUAUAAGGACUGCCAGGCAAUAAUGAAGGUUCUUUUACUGAAGGAUGCGAAGGAAGACGACUGUGGCCAGGAUCCAUAUAUCAGGGAAUUAGAAUUAUAUGGACUUGAAGCCACUUUGAUCCCUGUUUUAUCAUUUGAGUUUUUGUCUCUUCCCAGUUUCUCUGAGAAGCUUUCUCAUCCUGAAGAUUACGGGGGACUCAUUUUUACCAGCCCCAGAGCAGUGGAAGCAGCAGAGUUAUGUUUGGAGAAAAACAAUAAAACUGAAGUCUGGAAAAGGUCUCUGAAAGAAAAAUGGAAUGCCAAGUCAGUGUAUGUGGUUGGAAAUGCUACUGCUUCUCUAGUGAGUAAAAUUGGCCUGGAUACAGAAGGAGAAACCUGUGGAAAUGCAGAAAAGCUUGCAGAAUAUAUUUGUUCCAGGGAGUCCUCAGCACUGCCUCUUCUCUUUCCCUGUGGAAACCUCAAAAGAGAAAUCCUGCCAAAAGCGCUCAAGGACAAAGGGAUUGCCAUGGAAAGCAUAACUGUGUAUCAGACAAUUCCACACCCAGGAAUCCAAGGGAACCUGAACAGCUACUAUUCCCAGCAGGGGGUUCCAGCCAGCAUCACAUUUUUCAGUCCCUCUGGCCUCACAUACAGUCUCAAGCACAUUCAGGAGUUAUCUGGUAACAAUAUCGAUCAAAUUAAGAUCCAGCUGUUCCUGAUGUGCUGGGGGAAGUUCAGCUUUGAGUUUGUAGAUGUUCUAGGUGCCUUCCCAGAGUCAAUGUGGGAAGCUGGGUCGAAGCCAGAGUCUCACACGACACCCUGAGCAGCAGUAGGGCCACCCAGGAUGCUCCUGGACUGAGGAGAGUUGCUGAAGAAGUUCAUGCAGGGAAGGAAUAAAGGAUCACACAGGAAUUUGAGAGCCAAAGUAGAGUGCAACUGGCCCCCCAGGCCCAGAGCGGCUAGCGAUAAAAGAGCUGGAACUCCAGUAGCCAUCUUGGGCCCUGAGAUGACAUUGGGGAAAGGAAGUUUUCUAGAACAAGAUGACACUGUGGGCACAAAAACUAUCCCUACUCUAGACUUCUUGAGUGUAAAAGACAUAUUGACUUCUAUCUUGUUUAAGCCACUAUUACUACGAUAUUUUUUCUUUUACAAUCAAAUCUAAAUGAUAAAAUAAUCAAGUGAAUUGGUAGAGCAAACAUCAAGAUAAACCGUUUUCGAGUUUGAAUAAAAUGCCUUUUUAAGAAAAUCUUGGACGGAUGCAGUGGCUCAUGCCUGUAAUCCCAGCACUUUGAGAGGCCGAGGCGGGUGGAUCACUUCGAGACCAGCCUGGCUGACAUGGCGAAACCCCAUCUCUACUAAAAAUGCAGAAACUUAGCCAGGUAUGUUGGUGCAUGUAUGUAAUCCCAGCUAUUAAGGAGGCUGAGACAGGAGAAUUGCUUGAACCUGGGAGGCGGAGGUUGCAGUGAGCUGAGAUGGUGCCACUGCACUCCAGCCUGGGCAGCAGAGCGAGACUCCAUCUCAAAAAAAAAAAAAAAAAAAGAAAAGAAAAGAAAAAGAAUAUAUUUGGUUACUAGAAGUCCCUCAUAUACUUACUGUUGAAUCUUUUUAUCAAGUUCAAUUUUCAGCUGUGUAUUUGCAUAUUAUUUAUAGAUUUAUGCCUUGUGCAAUUAUAUAAAGUGUUUGAAAAGCAACCGAAACAACAAAAAGAUUCCUCAGCAUCAACCUGCUUCCGGCGGCAGGACAGGAACUGGGCCUGAGCCUGAGAUGGUUCCUUCCUACACCCUUCUCCAGGGUACCGUGUCCACCUCUAAGCCUCUGGACCCUCUGACAUGUAACCUGUGUCCCCUCCCCAAGCCAGCAGAGAGACCCAGGCAUGGUGUGGUUAGGGAAGGAGGUGGACCCAUCAGGUUCUCAGCCUGAUGGGUCCCUCAGGAGCGGCGCAUGUGUAGCAGCUUUUCAGGAGUAUGGGGGGUGACAGGAGCCAGAGGCCACGUGGUGCAGAUGGGAGAGAGGCCAGCAGAUGGGUCCAGCAGCAGUGGGUUGAGCUUUGCCUUGUAACCUCGGCGACAGGGGCUUUAAUCUGCAUGGAAAAUUCUGCAUGAUUCACACUCAUGAGGCCUGUCACCAAGCUGAGUUACUGAGUUACUUUACUGAGUGUUCAUCGUGUGACUAAAUUUCUGGAACUGGGGAGUUCGUAACUUUUUCCUCAUCUCUCACCCAAACACCCCCAAGUCCUGUAAAAAUUGCAUUUCCAGGGACGGAAAGGAGUCCCACGUAACCAGCCAGAUCCCAUCUCUGAGCCAGGCCAGACCGCUUCCUCCUCCCUCUGAGUCUGGUCUGCUUCUGGGGUUCUCUCUCUCAAUGUAUUAGGGUUCUCCAGAGAAACAGAACCAAUAGGAUAGAUGGACAGAGAGAGAGAGACAGACAGACAGACAGACAGACUAGGGGGCACUUAGGGGAAUUGUCUCACAUAAUUCUGGAGGCCAAGGAGGCCAGCAUCUGUGGGCUGCAAGCUGGAGACCCAGGAAAGCCAGUGCUUGCAGUUCAGCCUGAGCCUGGAGGCUGAGAGCCGGGGAGCUGGUGGUGGGACUUCCAGUCCACGUCUGAAGAAGGCCUGGGGAGAAGGCAGUGCUUCUGUAAGUCCCGGAGUCUGAGGGCCCAGGAACCUGGAUGGACAGGAUUCAAGGGGCAGAGAAGAUGAAUGUCCCAGCUCAGGAAGUGGGAGGAUUUGCCCUUCCUUGGCCUUUUCGUUCUCCUGGAGCCCUCAGUGGACUGGAUGACUCCUGCCUGCUGGUGAGGCUGGCUCUUCUUUACUAAUUUAAAUGCUCAUCUCUCGCAGAACACCCUCACAGACACACCCAGGAACAGUGUUUUACCAGGUCUGUGGCCAUCCCUUGGCCCCGUCACACUGACAUACAGAAUUUACCAUUGUGCUUGGGAAAUCUCAGCUUCUCUGCUGGUAUCAUUGCUGCUGCCCUGGCAGCUGCCCUGAGAAGAGCUGGGUUUGACCAGCACACUGAGGGCAUCUCCUCAUCAGAGGGCCCCACUCUCAGAGCAGAACCAGUUGGGAGAUUUCUGAGGGAUACCACCAGCAACAAUGAGCAUAAUUCUCACCCGGAGGCCAGGAGGCCUGGGUGUGCCUUGGCAGAGAAGUGCAGGUGGGUAGUGAGCGGUGCCUCCCUCCCGCAACCGCUGAGCAGCCUCCAUGUGCAUCCUUUGAGGGGAGGAACAAGCCCCAAACGCAGACUCUCAUGUGUGUAAAACACAAGCAGUUCUCCCCAGGGAGGCCGAGGGUCCUAUGCCAGUCCAGAGAUGGGGGAAAGGGUUUAUUUGUGGAUGAAAAGGGACCAAAAUGCAGUCUGGACAGAAGGGAAUCAGGACAGACACUGGGAAGAGUCUUUCCCUCUCACAGGUGUGCUAUGCAGCUGGAAACAACAAGCCUGCCCUGGUGCUGAUGGCAUCACUCCCCAGCACCUGGGCCCCCUGAGCCCUGCUCACUUUCAGAGUCAGAACUGUCCCCUCUCUGAACAUAAGGCUCAAAGAUCUCCUGUGGGAAUGACUGUUUCCAAAUAUUAUUGUCCAACUAUACUAAGAAUAUGCAAAUCCAGUCUGGGUGCAGUGGCUCAUAUCUGUAAUCCCAACACUUUGGGAGGCUGAGGUGGGCAGAUUGCUUGAGCCCAGGAGUUCAAGACCAGCCUGGACAACAUGGCAAAAGCAUAUCUCUACAAAAACAUACAAAAAUUAGCUGGGCAUGGUGGCUCACACCUGUAGUCCCAGCUACUUGCAGGAGGCUAAGGUGGGAAGAUCACUUGAGCCAGAGAGGUCACGGCUGCAGUUGAGCUGUGACUGUGCCACUGCACCUCAGCCUGGGUAACAAAGUGAGACCCUAUCUCAAAAAAAAAAAAAAAAAAGCAAAUCCAUUUUGUAAAUGAUGAACAUUUCAGGGGAAAAAAAUUUCAAUUCUCCCACUGACAAUUAGGUUAUGCAUCUCAUGGCUUACAGAGAUUCCAGAAGCUCCGAGCCAAACCCUUGCCCAGUCUCAGAAACGGGAGGUGGCCCACACAGACCAGGAACCAGUUUGUGCAGGAGCCCCUGUCCCUCAUGUUGUCUUUAUUGUAGGUCACGUGUCUUCCUCUGACAUUUUCCCUCCUAAAUCCAAUUGAUUUCCUUGAAAUCCAAGUAACAUGCAAUGAAAAUUUGGUUAAUCAAACAUUCUCAGCCUUAAGCAGCCAGUACAUUCCAAAGCUUAGUAAUAAUUGGAGAGAAGAAUCCUCCGAAAGAAGAGCAAACGUCCACACGGUGAACAUACUUCCCCAAGUCAAGCACCCAAGCUGCACAAGGCCACCGCACCCAUAAAGUUUCUUAAAGAAUAAUAACUUUAGGAAACAAGACCCUUCAGUAAUGAAGCUCUCAAGCCUAUGAUCCCUGUCUUAGUCCAUUUGUGAUGCUAUACCAAAAUACCUGAGACUGGGUCAUUUAUAAAUAAUAAAUUUUUUUUUUCACAGUUCUGGGGGCUGGCAAGUCCAAGAGCAAGACUUGGUGUCUGAUGAGGGCCUGGUGUCUGUUGCCAGAUGGUGUCUUGAACACUGUGUCCUCAUAUGGCAGAAGGGCAAAGGGCUGAAUGCUCUCUGAAGCCUGGCUUCUAAGGGCAGGAGGGUAGAGCCUUAUGAUUCAAUCACCUCCUCAAGGCCCCACCUCUUAAUGCGCUUGCACUGGGGAUUAAGUUUCAACAUGAAUUGUGGAGGGAACACAAACGUUUAAGCCACAGUAAUCCCUAAGGGGAAUCAUCUUACCCCACUGAGGACAGCUGUCAUGCAAGUUUUCAGAUUUGACUUUAAGAAGCACAGUCUUUGACCAGAGCUGGUGGAAUGGACAGAACUGCCAGGCUUCAAGCAGAACAAGGAUCGUGGUGGGUGCCCAAGCUCCUCCUGAGCACCCCUUCCCAGCAUCCCAGGUCCUGCCUUUUCCCCGCAGCAUUCGAUGUGGGCCCAAUGAGGAAUGGAUCCCCUGGGUCACAGUGUAGGACUGUGCCUUCCCCGGAAAGCCCAGUGUCCUAGAGCCCAGGAAAGUGUUCUAGGGUGCGGCACAGUCAGAAAAACAGAGAGGAGUUGACAAUAGCCAGAGGGUUUCACCCCAGGAGACACAGCCUACACCAACCUCAGAACUGCACAGAGGUUCUUUUAAAAGUAGCCAGUCCUGGCAUUGUCCACUCAAAAUGUUCCACCUGAACUUACGGUGAAUCCAGACUCCUCAUUUGCCCUAUGGGUUCUUCCCCAUCUGACCUUCACGUGCUGCUCUUCAUCCUCCCCUCCCAGCUCACUCCUCCCACUCAUGUCCAGCCAGGCUGUUCUUUCUUCCCUACUAUUGUAGGUUUGCCCAGCCAGUUCCAGCCUCAGGGCCUGUGCACUUGCCCUUUCCUGGCCUAAAAUGUACACCACUCCCGAACCCCCAGUCACAUGUGACUGAAUCCCUCUGAUCUUUCUGCUAUUGCCCAGAUUUCAUCUGCACAAGAGGUCUUUCCUGCUCACCUGAAUAUUCACUCUUCCCCAUAGACACUCACUUUCCCUAAUUCUAUUC